AGUGAACGCUGGCGGUAGGCCUAACACAUGCAAGUCGAACGGCAGCACAGGAGAGCUUGCUCUCUAGGUGGCGAGUGGCGGACGGGUGAGGAAUACAUCGGAAUCUGCCCAGUCGUGGGGGAUAACGUAGGGAAACUUACGCUAAUACCGCAUACGGCCUUCGGGUGAAAGAGGGGGAUCGCAAGACCUCUCGCGAUUGGAUGAGCCGAUGUCGGAUUAGCUAGUUAGCGGGGUAAUGGCCCACCAAGGCGACGAUCCGUAGCUGGUCUGAGAGGAUGAUCAGCCACACUGGAACUGAGACACGGUCCAGACUCCUACGGGAGGCAGCAGUGGGGAAUAUUGGACAAUGGGCGCAAGCCUGAUCCAGCCAUACCGCGUGGGUGAAGAAGGCCUUCGGGUUGUAAAGCCCUUUUGUUGGGAAAGAAAUCUUUCAGGCUAAUACCCUGGGAGGAUGACGGUACCCAAAGAAUAAGCACCGGCUAACUUCGUG
rnacentral:rRNA from 1 species